GAUGAACGCUGGCGGCAUGUAUAAGGCAUGCAAGUCGAACGGACUAGAUUUGAGAUUAUAUCAAGGAACUAGUUAGUGGCAGACGGGUGAGUAACACAUUGGUAACCUACCUUUAAGACGGGCACAACCAGUCGAAAGACUGGCUAAUUCCCGAUAGUCAUGAGGGGUCACAAGACAUUCUCAUGUAAAUCAUUUAUGGCUUAAAGAGGGCCUAUGGCCUAUCAGCUAGUUGGUGAGGUAACGGCCCACCAAAGGCAACGACGGGUAGCAGGCGUGAGAGCGCGACCUGCCUCACCGGAACUGAGACACUGUCCGGGACACCUACGGGUGGCUGCAGUCGAGAAUAUUCCACAAUGCGCGAAAGCGUGAUGGAGCAAUANCGCGU
rnacentral:rRNA from 1 species